ACGAACGUUGGCGGUGUGCCUAAUACAUGCAAGUCGAGCGAGAAAGCCGGGGCAACUCGGCGAGUACAGCGGCGGAAGGGUGCGUAAUACAUGGUUAACGUACCCCCUAGUUAGGGAUAACCCUCCGAAAGGUGGGCUAAUACCGGAUAAUGGCAACGGGUGGCAUCACUUGUUGCUUAAAGACGCAAGUCACUAGGGGAGCGGACCAUGGCCUAUCAGCUAGUUGGCGGGGUAACGGCCCACCAAGGCGAUGACGGGUAGCCGGACUGAGAGGUUGAACGGCCACACGGGAACUGAGACACGGCUCCGACAUCUACGGAUGGCAGCAGUAGGGAAUCUUGCGCAAUGGGCGAAAGCCUGACGCAGCGACACCGCGUGGGGGAUGAAGGCCUUCGGGUUGUAAACCCCUUUCAUGAGGGAAGAACACUGACCUAACCUCAGGAAGAAGCACCGGCUAACUCCGU
rnacentral:rRNA from 1 species